rnacentral:rRNA from 1 species
UACGGAGGAUCCGAGCGUUAUCCGGAUUUAUUGGGUUUAAAGGGUGCGCAGGCGGGAGAUUAAGUCGGCGGUGAAAUUUUGCAGCUCAACUGUAAAAGUGCCUUCGAUACUGGUUUCCUUGAGUGUAGAUGAAGUAGGCGGAAUUUGUGGUGUAGCGGUGAAAUGCAUAGAUAUCACGAGGAACUCCGAUUGCGCAGGCAGCUUACUAAACCAUAACUGACGCUCAGGCACGAAGGCGUGGGGAUCAAACAGGAUUAGAUACCCGGGUAGU